rnacentral:siRNA from 1 species
UCCUAAUUAAUUUUCAGAUGACA